AUGGCGGCGCCACCGCCGGAGCCGCCGAUCCUUCGAACCCACGACGAGCUCCUCGAGGAGAUCUUCCUCCUUCUCCCCACUGCUGCCGACUUAGCCCGCGCCUCCCUGGCGUGCGCUUCCUUCCGCCGUCUCAUCACCGGCCACGCCUUCCUCCGCCGCUACCGCACCCUCUACCCGCCCCCUCUCAUCGGCGUGCUCGAUGUCGACGACAAUACCUUCUUCCCAGCCCAGCCUCCGCACCCCUCCGCCGUCGCCGCCCGCACUUUUACCGGCUUCGACUUCUCCUGCUCCUCCUUCCUCCCCUCCACCGCCGGCCGUACCUGGAGGGCGAUUGAUCUCUUCGACGGACGCGUCCUCCUCGGCGGCGCCCCAGAGGAGAGGACGUGCGACUUGGAGCACCUCCAACUUUUGGUCAGGGAGCUCGCUGUGUGCGACCCCGUGUUCCACCGCUACAUCCUGCUGCCCGGUGUCCCCGGCGACCUGACGGCGCUGGUCCCUGAACCGGACCUCCUCGAUAUGGACACUUUCCUUGCUCCCGGCGAUGAUGAGGAGGACCCUUUAUCAUUCAGGGUCAUGUGCUUGGUGCGAUGCAGAAGGAAUAUGCUGCUCCUCGUCUUCUCCUCUGUGAAUGGGCAAUGGCAUGCUCUUACAUUUGACCAAUGGAGUGUUUCGGGUACAUUUGACCCAUAUAAGGAUGGGCUGUUAAAUCGUCAAUUAGUCGGCCGAUGCUUCUGUUGGCAUCCACCUUUCCUCAACAAGUUGCUUCUGCUCGAGACGCGCUCCAUGGAGUUCUCUGCUAUCAGCCUCCCACCCGAACAACCGCAGUGUCACAAUUUUGUUAUUGUUGAGGCAGCAGAAGGAAUGCUCGGGAUGCUCACUGGAAUCAAUGACGGGCACAACGAUGGUGGCCCAUAUCGGCUCGUGUAUUCCAUUCUAACAAACAACCAAUGGCACUCACAGAAUGUCAUCCCAUUGCCGGAAAAGUAUGGUGUUAUUUUGUUUGGUGUAGCCGGGGGAUACGUGCUCAUGCAGGCAUACACCACAUCUUCACCAGAGAAGCUAUGGUUCUUUUCAGUGGACGUCAUGACGUUGCAGGUCGAGUUGUUCGGCGAAGGCUCCUGUAGUGGUGAACUAUAUGCUAGCCUCCCACGAUUAUUAUGUGCACCAACUAUAUGA
rnacentral:rRNA from 1 species